GAUGAACGCUGGCGGCGUGCUUAAUACAUGCAAGUCGAACGGACAGGCCCUGAUCUUGUGGGGUGCUCGUGUGCCGCACGGGUGAGUAACACGCGAGUAUCCCGCCCUUGACUUUGGGAUAACUCUUGGAGACUGGGGCUCAUAUCGGAUAGGAGCUCUUGCUGCAUGGUGGGGGAUGGUAAGUUUCGGCGGUUGGGGAUGGUCUCGCGGCUUAUCAGCUUGUUGGUGUGGUAGUGGAUUACCAAGCUUUUGACGGGUAGUCGGCCUGAGAGGGUGACCGGGCACAAUGGGACUGAGAUACGGCCCAGACGCCAACGGGAGGCAGCAGGGGGGAAUAUGGCACAACGGGCGGAAGCCUGAGGCAGCAACGCCGCGUGCGGAAAGACGGCCUUCGAGGUGUAAACCACUGUCGCCGUUAACAAGGCGGGAGUGACGGUAAUGGGUAAAGAAGCACCGGCUAACUACGUG
rnacentral:rRNA from 1 species